rnacentral:lncRNA from 1 species
GAACCUACUUUCAGGAUUUCUCUUUUUGCUGAGAGCUUUCCUUUCACUUAAUAAAUUCUACUCCACUCACUCUUCAAGCCUCCGCAUGCCUACUUCUUCCUGGUUGUAAGACAAGAAGCCAGACCUAGCUGAGCUAAAGAGCAAGAAAUCCUGUGUCAUUUUGGGAGCUCGCACAGGAUGCCUGGAGGGGCUGUCAUGGCACCUCUUUUUAAAUGAUGUUAAGGGUGCUGCUGCAAACUGCAGAGAUAUUACUAUGUAGAAUGAGCAUUUGGCCAAGCCACCAGAUAUGCAAUUCAGGAUAAUGUGAUUUCCAUCUGUUCUUAGAGGCAUCCCUCAGCUCCACCCAAUGGCCACAGGUCACAAUUGGAGAAACUGGUUGUUUUACCAAGGCUUUGACUGGAAGGAUGUGCUUCCCUUUAAGGAAUCAAGCAUGACCUGCAGAACCAAUUAAAGCUCCUUAGGAACUUUGGCCUCAUACCUUGUCUAAAGAGUCCCUGUACAGGGUUCCUAACCUGUGGUGAGUAAAGAAUGUCACUUUCUAACAGGCCCAGGAGCCCUAUGUUCUGGGGACCUCAAGAAGAGAGGAAUUUGCCCAAAUCAUAGGUAUUUCAGAGUACAAAUCCAUGGCUGGGCUAGGCUUUAAAAGGUCUUAUCUGAGAUUCCUUGUAGAACAGAGUUCUA